rnacentral:rRNA from 1 species
UACGUAGGGGGCAAGCGUUGUCCGGAUUUAUUGGGCGUAAAGAGCGUGUAGGCGGCUUGGUAGGUCUCGCGUCAAAACCUGAGGCUCAACCUCAGUUCGCGUGGGAAACCACCUAGCUAGAGUCCGGAAGAGGAGAACGGAAUUCCCAGUGUAGCGGUGAAAUGCGCAGAUAUUGGGAAGAACACCAGUGGCGAAGGCGGUUCUCUGGGACGGUACUGACGCUGAGACGCGAAAGCGUGGGGAGCGAACAGGAUUAGAUACCCUGGUAGUCCACGCCGUAAACGAUGGGCGCUAGGUGUGGGAGGUGUCGACUCCUUCCGUGCCGAAGCUAACGCAUUAAGCGCCCCGCCUGGGGAGUACGGCCGCAAGGCUAAA